GCCCCGGUAGCUCAGCUGGAUAGAGCGUCCGCCUCCUAAGCGGAAGGUCACAGGUUCGACUCCUGUCCGGGGCGCCA
rnacentral:tRNA from 1 species